rnacentral:rRNA from 1 species
UACAGAGGUCCCAAGCGUUGUUCGGAUUCACUGGGCGUAAAGGGUGCGUAGGCGGUCGGGUAAGUCUGAUGUGAAAUCUCACAGCUUAACUGUGAAACUGCAUUGGAUACUAUCCGGCUCGAGGAAUGGAGGGGAGACUGGAAUACUUGGUGUAGCAGUGAAAUGCGUAGAUAUCAAGUGGAACACCAGUGGCGAAGGCGGAUCUCUGGGCCAUUACUGACGCUGAGGAGCGAAAGCGUGGGGAGCGAACAGG